UCAGAAUCAGAAUCAGAUGGAAAACAGUGGCAACAACUGAGGCAAAAAUCAACAACAGUGGGAGGCUGGAAUUUAUCUUACUACGAUGGAAAACAGGGUGAGCAUACGGAAGCGUUGAUUGUCCGCGUCCGAUUGGGUGAGCUUACGUAGAAGUACGUCACGCUGUUCUUGCGUCUGGUCACGUUUUGCCUUUAACAGAGUUUGUAUACAGCAUCCCUGAGUUGUGUGACCUGUUUGGAAGCUGCCUCUGCGUCUAACUCCACCUCAACAAGCUUCUUU